rnacentral:rRNA from 1 species
UACGUAGGGACCAAGCGUUGUUCGGAUUUACUGGGCGUAAAGGGCGCGUAGGCGGCAAUUUCAAGUCAGUUGUGAAAUCUCCGAGCUUAACUCGGAACGGUCAACUGAUACUGUCUUGCUAGAGUACAGAAGGGGCAAUCGGAAUUCUUGGUGUAGCGGUGAAAUGCGUAGAUAUCAAGAGGAACACCUGAGGUGAAGACGGGUUGCUGGGCUGAUACUGACGCUGAGGCGCGAAAGCUAGGGUAGCAAACGGG